rnacentral:rRNA from 1 species
CUCUUAGAUGUUCUGGGCCGCACGCGCGCUACAAUGGUCUUCGCAAACGGAUGCAUUCUCGAAGGAGAAUGCCAAUCUUGGAAUCUAUGCCUUGGUCGGGACAGUUGCUUGCAAUUUUUCGACUCGAACCAGGAAUUCCUUGUAAUCGUGAUUCAUCACAUCACGAUGAAUACGUCCCCGCCCUUUGUACACACCGCCCGUCGCUCCUACCGAUCGAAGAGUUAGGUGAAUUGUUUUGAUCGAUAAGAUUUGACUAUGGUCAACUCUCGUUGUGAAAUUCUGUGAAUCUGACUGUUUAGAGGAAGGAAAAGUCGUAACA